rnacentral:rRNA from 1 species
GACGAACGCUGGCGGCGUGCUUAACACAUGCAAGUCGAACGGAAAGGCCCUGCUUUUGUGGGGUGCUCGAGUGGCGAACGGGUGAGUAACACGUGAGUAACCUGCCCUUGACUUUGGGAUAACUUCAGGAAACUGGGGCUAAUACCGGAUAGGAGCUCCUGCUGCAUGGUGGGGGUUGGAAAGUUUCGGCGGUUGGGGAUGGACUCGCGGCUUAUCAGCUUGUUGGUGGGGUAGUGGCUUACCAAGGCUUUGACGGGUAGCCGGCCUGAGAGGGUGACCGGCCACAUUGGGACUGAGAUACGGCCCAGACUCCUACGGGAAGCAGCAGUGGGGAAUAUUGCACAAUGGGCGGAAGCCUGAUGCAGCAACGCCGCGUGCGGGAUAACGGCCUUCGGGUUGUAAACCGCUUUCGCCUGUGACGAAGCGUGAGUGACGGUAAUGGGUAAAGAAGCACCGGCUAACUACGUG